rnacentral:rRNA from 1 species
UGGGGAAUCUUCCGCAAUGACGAAAGUCUGACGGAGCAACGCCGCGUGAGUGAAGAAGGUUUUCGGAUCGUAAAACUCUGUCUUUUGGGGCGAACGUGAGUAUGGUGAAACAAUCAUAGUCAGUGACGGUACCAAAGGAGGAAGCCACGGCUAACUACGUGCCAGCAGCCGCGGUAAUCGUAGGUGGCAAGCGUUGUCCGGAAUUAUUGGGCGUAAAGAGCGCGUAGGCGGGAUAGUCAGUCUGUUGUAAAAGUGCGGGGCUCAACCCCGUGAUCGCAAUGGAAACAGCUAUUCUUGAGUGCNGGAGAGGAAAGUGGAAAUUCCCAGUGUAGCGGUGAAAUGCGUAGAUAUUGGGAGGAACACCAGUGGCGAAGGCGACUUUCUGGACUGUGUCUGACGCU